rnacentral:rRNA from 1 species
CCUACGGGCGGCAGCAGUGAGGAAUAUUGGUCAAUGGACGAGAGUCUGAACCAGCCAAGUAGCGUGAAGGAUGACUGCCCUAUGGGUUGUAAACUUCUUUUAUAUGGGAAUAAAACGUUCCACGUGUGGGAUUUUGUAUGUACCAUAUGAAUAAGGAUCGGCUAACUCCGUGCCAGCAGCCGUGGUAAUACGGAGUAUCCGAGCGUUAUCCGGAUUUAUUGGGUUUAAAGGGAGCGUAGGUGGAUUGUUAAGUCAGUUGUGAAAGUUUGCGGCUCAACCGUAAAAUUGCAGUUGAAACUGGCAGUCUUGAGUACAGUAGAGGUGGGCGGAAUUCGUGGUGUAGCGGUGAAAUGCUUAGAUAUCACGAAGAACUCCGAUUGCGAAGGCAGUUCACUGGACUGCAACUGACACUGAGGCUCGAAAGUGUGGGUAUCAAACAGGAUUAGAUACCCGGGUAGUC